rnacentral:rRNA from 1 species
GUACACUCCUGCGGGAGGCAGCAGUGGGGAAUAUUGGACAAUGGGGGCAACCCUGAUCCAGCCAUGCCGCGUGAGUGAUGAAGGCCCUAGGGUUGUAAAGCUCUUUUGUGCGGGAAGAUAAUGACGGUACCGCAAGAAUAAGCCCCGGCUAACUUCGUGCCAGCAGCCGCGGUAAUACGAAGGGGGCUAGCGUUGCUCGGAAUCACUGGGCGUAAAGGGUGCGUAGGCGGGUCUUUAAGUCAGGGGUGAAAUCCUGGAGCUCAACUCCAGAGCUGCCUUUGAUACUGAGGAGCUUGAGUCCGGAAGAGGUGGGUGGAACUGCGAGUGUAGAGGUGAAAUUCGUAGAUAUUCGCAAGAACACCAGUGGCGAAGGCGGCUCACUGGUCCGGUACUGACGCUGAGGCACGAAAGCGUGGGGAGCAAACAGGAUUAGAUACCCGGGUAGUCCC